AGCAGCCGCGGUAAUUCCAGCUCCAAUAGCGUAUAUUAAAGUUGUUGCAGUUAAAAAGCUCGUAGUUGAAUUUCAGGCCUGGCUGGACGGUCCGCCCUUCGGGUGAGUACUGUCUGUGGUCGGGUCCUACCUUCUGGCGAAGCGUCAUGGCCUUAACCGGCCGUGGCGGGGAACCAGGACUUUUACUGUGAAAAAAUUAGAGUGUUCAAAGCAGGCAAUCGCUUGGAUACAUUAGCAUGGAAUAAUGGAAUAGGACAAUGGUUCUAUUUGUUGGUUUCUAGGACCGUUGUAAUGAUUAAUAGGGAUAGUUGGGGGCAUUAGUAUUCAAUUGUCAGAGGUGAAAUUCUUGGAUUUAUUGAAGACUAACUACUGCGAAAGCAUUUGCCAAGGAUGUUUUCAUUAAUCAAGAACGAAAGUUAGGGGAUCGAAGACGAUCAGAUACCGUCGUAG
rnacentral:rRNA from 1 species